rnacentral:rRNA from 1 species
CCUAACGGGAGGCUGCAGUGGGGAAUAUUGGACAAUGGGGGGAACCCUGAUCCAGCCAUGCCGCGUGUGUGAAGAAGGCCCUCGGGUUGUAAAGCACUUUCAGUGAGGAAGAACGCCUGGUGGUUAAUACCCAUCAGGAAAGACAUCACUCACAGAAGAAGCACCGGCUAACUCCGUGCCAGCAGCCGCGGUAAUACGGAGGGUGCGAGCGUUAAUCGGAAUUACUGGGCGUAAAGCGCGCGUAGGUGGCUUGAUAAGCCGGUUGUGAAAGCCCCGGGCUCAACCUGGGAACGGCAUCCGGAACUGUCAAGCUAGAGUGCAGGAGAGGAAGGUAGAAUUCCCGGUGUAGCGGUGAAAUGCGUAGAGAUCGGGAGGAAUACCAGUGGCGAAGGCGGCCUUCUGGACUGACACUGACACUGAGGUGCGAAAGCGUGGGUAGCAAACAGGAUUAGAUACCCCAGUAGUC